CCUACGGGAGGCUGCAGUAAGGAAUAUUGGUCAAUGGACGAAAGUCUGAACCAGCCAUGCCGCGUGGAGGAUGAAGGUCCUCUGGAUUGUAAACUUCUUUUAUAUGGGACGAAAAAGGGUCUUUCUAGAUCAACUGACGGUACCAUAUGAAUAAGCACCGGCUAACUCCGUGCCAGCAGCCGCGGUAAUACGGAGGGUGCAAGCGUUAUCCGGAUUCACUGGGUUUAAAGGGUGCGUAGGUGGGUUGGUAAGUCAGUGGUGAAAUCCCCGAGCUUAACUUGGGAACUGCCAUUGAUACUAUCAGUCUUGAAUACCGUGGAGGUUAGCGGAAUAUGUCAUGUAGCGGUGAAAUGCUUAGAUAUGACAUAGAACACCAAUUGCGAAGGCAGCUGGCUACACGAAUAUUGACACUGAGGCACGAAAGCGUGGGGAUCAAACAGGAUUAGAUACCCCAGUAGUC
rnacentral:rRNA from 1 species